CCUACGGGUGGCAGCAGUGGGGAAUAUUGGGCAAUGGGCGCAAGCCUGACCCAGCAACGCCGCGUGAAGGAAGAAGGCUUUCGGGUUGUAAACUUCUUUUAAGAGGGAAGAGCAGAAGACGGUACCUCUUGAAUAAGCCACGGCUAACUACGUGCCAGCAGCCGCGGUAAUACGUAGGUGGCAAGCGUUGUCCGGAUGUACUUGGGGUAAAGGGCGGGUAGCCGGGCUGACAAGUCAGAUGUGAAAUCCCGUGGCUCAACCACGGAACUGCAUUUGAAACUGUCGGUCUUGAGUAUCGGAGAGGCAGGCGGAAUUCCUCGUGUAGCGGUGAAAUGCGUAGAUAUUAGGAGGAACACCAGAGGCGAAGGCGGCCUGCUGGACGACAACUGACGGUGAGGCGCGAAAGCGUGGGGAGCAAACAGGAUUAGAUACCCGGGUAGUC
rnacentral:rRNA from 1 species